rnacentral:rRNA from 1 species
CCUACGGGUGGCAGCAGUGAGGAAUAUUGGUCAAUGGACGAGAGUCUGAACCAGCCAAGUAGCGUGAAGGAUGACUGCCCUAUGGGUUGUAAACUUCUUUUAUAUGGGAAUAAAAUGUUCCACGUGUGGGAUUUUGUAUGUACCAUAUGAAUAAGGAUCGGCUAACUCCGUGCCAGCAGCCGCGGUAAUACGGAGGAUCCGGGCGUUAACCGGAUUUAUUGGGUUUAAAGGGAGCGUAGGUGGAUUGUUAAGUCAGUUGUGAAAGUUUGCGGCUCAACCGUAAAAUUGCAGUUGAAACUGGCAGUCUUGAGUACAGUAGAGGUGGGCGGAAUGCGUGGUGUAGCGGUGAAAUGCUUAGAUAUCACGAAGAACUCCGAUUGCGAAGGCAGUUCACUGGACUGCAACUGACACUGAGGCUCGAAAGUGUGGGUAUCAAACAGGAUUAGAUACCCUAGUAGUC